UACGUAGGGUGCAAGCGUUAAUCGGAAUUACUGGGCGUAAAGCGUGCGCAGGCGGUUAUGCAAGACAGAUGUGAAAUCCCCGGGCUCAACCUGGGAACUGCAUUUGUGACUGCAUGGCUAGAGUGCGGUAGAGGGGGAUGGAAUUCCGCGUGUAGCAGUGAAAUGCGUAGAUAUGCGGAGGAACACCGAUGGCGAAGGCAAUCCCCUGGACCUGUACUGACGCUCAUGCACGAAAGCGUGGGGAGCAAACAGG
rnacentral:rRNA from 1 species